rnacentral:lncRNA from 1 species
CUCCCCGCGGCCCGAGCCAGCCCUCACCCUGCAUGAUGUCCCGGAUCUGCCUGAAGUCCCGGUACCGGCUACUCCGAAAGGCCCGCAGCGCCUCGUGGAAGUAGAACUUGAGCACCCAGCGGUUGACCGCCUCCUCCAGACGAGCUUCCCCCGCGCCCCGCUCUGCCGCGCCUCCCAGCCCCGGCUCGUGCCGCCCCCGUCGAGCCCUCCCGCCGCUGCGCGAUGCUCGCCGGUUCGCCGCCCUCCCGCCGUUGUCGCUGCUCCCGCCUCCUCCCGCCAUCGUGUUCGACCGCCGAGCGCCCUCCCCGCCGGGCCGUUUCCUUGGCUGUGACGCCAUCGGGUCACGCACAACGCCCGGGCCGGAAGCAGGGCCCGCUGUUCCGGCUCCCGCAGCCAUGAUACCGACGAGUUUCCAAGCCGCCCGCGGGCUUCUGGGAGGGAAAGGACCGAGGUGGGGGGGGGGGUCGGUCCACCCACCUCCUUGGCAUCCGUAGUUCCCGUUUUGUCUGCUGCUAUGCUUGCUGGGGAUUGGAGUCCAGACAGCCCAGCCAGGUGCGCUAUUUUAAAGACUACGCUCCUUACUUGGGACCCUGUAAAGAAUACGAAAAAUAAACGCAUGCAUAGUGUUAGACAUUUCGCAAAUUGUGAAAAGCAGUACAAUAGGAAAAAAGUUACUUUGUUUUGAGACAGAGUCUCACUGUGUAGUCCUGCUUGGCUUGGAACUCAAGACAUAGAGUUUGAACUUGGCCUCUGUUUUGUAGUACUGAUAUUAAAGGAGAUAGUGCCAACUUGA